GGACUGCCAGCACGCUGUCACCUCUCAGUAACAGUAAGAAGAGAGAGGAGGACAUCUAAUUCUGGAAGAAAUGUGCCCAUUCGGAAACUACCUUGACCGAUAAGAGCAGAAAGCCCCGGAAGAAUAUUCACCGGACUUCUCUGGGGGAAGGAUUACAGGUCGUAGCUUAGAUAUCACCUUCCUUGGGAAGCCUUCUCUGUCUCCUCUGUCCACUGGACUUCAGGAAAUCCAGGUCCCAUAUCUGGAUCAGGCCGCUCUGGUGAAUGCAACUUUCCUCAGCCCUGGUGCCCAGCCCAGUGUAGCAGUGGCAGCAGUUCCUGCUAUCUCACUGUCUGUCUCACACUCACUGAGGGUGAUGUUUCAGGAGCCACUGGACAGAAUCUUCUGCGGCAAACCUGAGAAAGAAAAC
rnacentral:lncRNA from 1 species